GGAUGGGAAGAUAAAUCGGGAGUUGGGUGCUUCCUCCUGUGUCUUUUCCUAGUUUUCCAGGAUGUUGGUAUUGACAUUGGACUGUUAUUAAUUCAUUUUCCAGGCUGGCCAGAGGUGGCCAGUGGGAAGUCGGAUAUGGCUGGGAGUUGGGAUGGAGACUCCGAGGGGACAGAGCAGGAGUCAUCUUGAGGAGACAUCCAGGGUGUCCUGAUCUCCUGCCUGCUGGAGCCUGUGAGGAUGACCAUGAUGACGAAGAGCUGCAGAACCUGGUCAGUGUGCUGUUGACACUACACUCUCGAACCCGAGUCCAUCACCAGCCUCCAGCACGAGCACAAGGUCAGGUUAGUCCUGUCACUCCUGUGUCACACUCAGGGCAUGAACACACAACCCUACUAAUGAGAGGAGUACAGUUAUAAAGUUACUAGUAUUGAUAUUGGAGCCUGGUGAAGUAUUAUUGUUGAAUUAACACAAUCUGGAGUGACAGGUGAACGCUGGGCUGAAGACGGAUGACGAGGCACAGAGAGACUGCAGAGCCAGACUGCUGCCCUCAGACACACAAACCAGCUGUCCCAGCUGUGCAGCCUACAGCAGCGUGUCCUGGGAUGGAGGUGGGAUGCUCUCUCCUGGCUCUUUUCCCUUUUCCAUUUUCCAGUAAGUCCGGCGGCUGACACUGGGGAGACGUGUAUGUAUGAAGACUGAACCCUCUCCUGUUUUCUGUUCCUUCAUUUUCCAGGCU